AUCAAAAUCCAUAGUUUUAAUCCUUCUCUCAGUAGGAUUCAUUCUUAGCCAUUCGAUCUGGGUUUUGAUGAAGUACUGGCUAUCGAAUCAUACAAAAGAUCUCCUAUUCAAAAUCAAAAAUAUUCUCAGCCGUCUGAUCACUUGAUGGAUCACUUUUGGGCCGUUGGAUCGCACAGAAGAGUCCUAUUCAAAGUCGGCAACGAGUCUGGACCAUCGGAUCU
rnacentral:lncRNA from 1 species